rnacentral:rRNA from 1 species
AUACGUAGGGAGCAAGCGUUGUCCGGAUUUACUGGGUGUAAAGGGUGCGUAGGCGGCCCUGCAAGUCAGGCGUGAAAGGCGGAGGCUUAACCUCCGAGCUGCGUUUGAAACUGUGGGGCUUGAGUGGAGCAGAGGCAGGCGGAAUUCCCGGUGUAGCGGUGAAAUGCGUAGAGAUCGGGAGGAACACCAGUGGCGAAGGCGGCCUGCUGGGCUUUAACUGACGCUGAGGCACGAAAGCAUGGGUAGCAAACAGGAUUAGAUACCCUGGUAGUCCAUGCCGUAAACGAUGAUUACUAGGUGUGGGGGGUCUGACCCCUUCCGUGCCGGAGUUAACACAAUAAGUAAUCCACCUGGGAAGUACGACCGCAAGGUUGAA